rnacentral:rRNA from 1 species
GACGAACCGUGCGAACGUUAUUCGGAAUCAUUGGGCUUAAAGGGCGCGUAGGCGGCGAUAUAAGUUGGAAGUGAAAUCCCAUCGGCUCAACCGUGGAAUAGCUCCCAGUACUGUAUCGCUCGAGGGGGAUAGGGGUCCGCGGAACUACCGGUGGAGCGGUGAAAUGUGUUGAUAUCGGUGGGAACGCCAGUGGCGAAAGCGGCGGACUUGACCCUUCCUGACGCUGAGUGCGCGAAAGCUAGGGGAGCAAACGGG